UGCGUUACAUCAACGAUUUUUCAUUAUUUUAAUUGUGCUUGAAAUAACAAUAAAUAUUCGCUUUUUCAGCCUCCAAAAAUCAAGAUCAAAAAUUCAAGCUGAAAUUAAACAGGAAAAACCUAAGUUGAAUAAAAGAAAUAUUGCUCAAGCUAGAGCGCGCACCAAACAAGUGAUAUGGCGCCAAUCUGCAAGCAGAAAUGAAUCAAUGUAAACGUAGAUUCAACUUUAAAGAUUCAAGAUUCCGACAUUCCAACAAUUAAUUUAUUUUUUGGUUCAUGAGGUAAAAAAGUUGGCAAAGGAUUGAGGUGAAAUAAUUUUGUUCAAGUAAAGAUUAAAAUGGCGAGACUGCCAGUUGAUCCACUUUGCUUGGUUUUUGCCUUCAAAUGGCGAUUCAAAAAAUGGUUAAAAUUAUCUUAAAGUUGCGUGUUAUUUCUGGAUCAAACCAGCUGAUGGUAAAUUACUUGUUUUAAACUGGGAAAAUUCAUCAUCCAAUGCCACCCAAUGCACCAAGAGCGCCGAGUCCACCAAGACCACCAAGACCACCUAACCCAAUACCAUGACCACCAAGGCCACCUAAACCUCCACCGAUUCCACCCAAUUUACCAAGAGCAGCCAGAUGAGUGAGGGCAUGGCCACCACCGACUCCUCCACCUCCUAACCCAAAUUAUAAAAAUAUUUUGUCAUUACAAGAGCUUUUCUCAACAAGAUAAUCCCAGCUGUUUUACUCACCGAAACCACCACCAUAGCCACCAGCCAAACCACCGGUUAAUAGCUGUUUCUUGUAAAGCCAUGGAUCAUGAAUAACUGCUUGAUAGCUUUUAUAAAUUCUGUUCAUAUGGUGGAUAAAAAGAAAAGAAGGGGAAAAGUGUUGCUUAAAUCAAAUUUGAUUGACCAAAAUUCAAUUAGAUGUUCAACAAGGCUGAUCAUCAAGUUUAGUUAUUGCUUUUUGUAACAAAGUCACUUAAUUAAUUAAUGGGUUAAAUGGUCCUUCGAGGAUGGUAAAGAAGAUGAAAAGCCAACAGGGCUCAACAUACAACAUUAUCAGACCAAAGUUGACCAGUGAGAAUUGGACUGGAUCCAGGAGAGUAAAAUCAAGUUAUAAAAGCUAUACAAAUUGAAAGCCAUUCACAAGCCAGGGUUUACAAUGAAAAAUAAACACUCGAGUCUUGAUUGUUUCAACCCAUGAAUAAUUAACCAUUGGAAAUGGAAUUAAUUGGAAAAGUCUGUCAACACCAAGAAAGGUCCAAUUGAAGGAAGAAGAAGAAAAAAAAGGAAUUGACUAAUUUUCCCUUUUAAUGCUUGUUCCAAUUCACCAUUAGCAAGAUAUAAUUUCAUGAAACCUUUUCAUAUCUUACAAGAUGGUAAACUGAAAGAAAAAGCCAAAACUCAUACUUAACAAGGAAAACAAAGAAACAUUUUCCAUCAUCAACAUAAUUUCCUCUUCUCAUCACCAGUAUCAUCAUCAACAGUAUCAUGAUCACUGCCAGUGCCCUCAUCUUCAUUAUCAUCUGCAGCUUUUAAAAACCUAGCGAACCACACAAAGCUUUUGGGUCGAUUCAAGAUUCUCAUGCUUCAUGGAAUUCUAAUUUUUAAGAACAAAAAGAGGAGAGAGAAAUUUUUUACUUUUUUCCUUCAUUUUUCACCCUCUAUUUAUCCAUCAUCUCUCAUCUUUUCACUGAUGAUGUUCAACACAGUAAAAAUCAUAAUAUUGUUCAAGACGUACAUCUCAACAGUCUACAUCCUAUGGAUCUCGAUCGAUGAAUGUUUCAAAAUAAUGAGCUACAGAUUAGAAAGUAAAUUACAUACCAAUCUGUGUAAGCUUGUUAAGACCUGUAUGAGUUGAAGAUGAGUUGAGUAGCAAGAGAGUUACAAGGAAAAAAAAUUAUCCAAGAAUGAAGUAAUUUGAUGAAGAAAAGGCAACAGAACACAAAAAAACAACAUUUUCUUGUUCAAACUCAGCGUGAGUUUUUUGUUCUGUGUACAGAGUAUACAGAAUUGAUAAAAGUAGAUAUUGUACUCUCAUCAAAACUCUAGACCACUUAUUAAUCUUAAUUGGCCAACUAAUUCAGUUUAUACUUUAAACUGGGAAAAGCGAAAGCUGAGAAACAUUACAAACAUUUCAUUGAAGGAAGACAAAGAAAAAAAAAGCCAAAGGAAUGAUCAAGAAAAAGCAAUUUGGAGUUUGCUUGGAGAAAUGAGCAAACGAGAGGAAAAUAGCAAAAAAGGAAGGAAACCAAGAAAAGAUUUACAUGAAAAUAGUAAUUCUGAUAAUUCCAACAUGAGAUUCAACAAGUUCAAUGGAAUGACUAAAUGUAAUGGUUCCUUGUAUCAGCUAAUUUACAAUCAACCCCGUUUGUCAAGAAAACCAUUGUUGUCUCAACAAAGGCAACCCUUUUGUUUCGCCCUUAACUCUCUACUCACUGAAUCCAAUUAUUUUCAUUGUAAACAAUUUCAAUUCAUUUGAAUGGUUGAUUAAUUUUUACAUAUUUACCUUUUUCCUUCUCAUCUUCAUUGUUAUACUCAUUGAUAUAUUGUAUAGCAAUGAAAAAAAAUAGCAACAACAGUUAUGAAAACAAAAACAACAAAUAAAUGGGAAAAUGAAAAAAGUCAUUGGAUUGUAAAUAUAAAUGUUGGAAAAAGGGAAAAAGAUAUCAAAAUUAUGUUAAACAGAUGCAAAAUUGUACUUUAUUUUGUUCAUUUGAAACUCCCUUUGUAACUGAACAACAACAAUCUAUCAUGAAUCUUUGUUAUUCCAAUGAUUAUCAGUUAUAAUUAUACCGUCUAUUGAAUAAGCUGUUGUAACCUCUUUUUGUUUUCAACUUUUUCAUCAUUAAAUAUCCUUUUAAAAGGGUAAAAAUAUUUUUCCCAUAA